GAAGACAAUGUNNGUUUAAUUNGAAAGCANCGNNCAGAAACNUUGCCAUCAUUNGACANGGCGUNUUAAGNGGAGAGAAUUCUCAGUCCNCUUCGGNGGCGCGCNCACAGNUGAUNCANGGCUNUCNUCAGCUCGUNUCGUGAGAUGUUGGGUUAAGUCCCGCAACGAGNGCAACCCACGUCAUUAGUUGCCAUCAUUCAGUUGGGCACUCUAGGGAGACUGCCGGUGAUAAGCCGCGAGGAAGGUGUGGAUGACGUCAAGUCCUCAUGGCCCUUACGGGAUGGGCUACACACGUGCUACAAUGGCGGUGACAGUGGGACGCGAAGGAGCGAUCUGGAGCAAAUCCCCAAAAGCCGUCUCAGUUCGGAUUGCACUCUGCAACUCGAGUGCAUGAAGGCGGAAUCGCUAGUAAUCGUGGAUCAGCAUGCCACGGUGAAUACGUUCCCGGGCCUUGUACACACCGCCCGUCACACCAUGGGAGUUGGUCUUACCCGACGGCGCUGCGCCAACCGCAAGGUGGCAGUU
rnacentral:rRNA from 1 species